rnacentral:lncRNA from 1 species
AUAAGGGUUGAGAUGAUGAGAUGAAAUGAGAUGAAAAGAUGAAAUGAUGAGAUGAAAUGAUGAGAUGAAAUGAGAAAAUGAUGAUAUGAAAUGAUGAGAUGAAUGAUGAAAUGAAAUGAUGAGAUGAGAUGAUGAAAUGAAAUGGUGAGAUGAAAUGAUGAGAUGAAAUGAAAUAGUGAAAUGAAAUUGAAAUAAAAUCGAAAUGAGAUGAGAUGAAAUGAUGAGAUGAUGAAAUAAAAUGAUGAAAUGAGAUGUGAUGAGAUGAAAUGAUGACAUGAAAUGAUGAGAUGAGAUGAGAUGAGAUGACAUGAAAUAAUGAAAUGAAAUUGAAAUGAGAUAAGAUACGAGAUGAGAUGAAAUGAUGAGAUGAAAUGAAAUGAUGAGAUAAGAUGAAAAGAGUUGAUGAGAUGAUGAGAUGAAAUGAGAUGAAAAGAUGAAAUGAUGAGAUGAAAUGAGGUGAAAUGAAAUUA